GGAGCCCAGGGUUCCUCCAGACGAGGCUGUGUCUGGGAAUGACCAUGAGCUUCCUGGCGGCAGGGAGGCAGUCCGAGGAGGAAAGCGUGUCUGAGCAUGCAUGCACCACACGGAACACGAGCCCACGGACGCAGCUCACCGAGGGCAGAAGCAUACCAUCAACUGGGAGGGCCAAAAAAGGCAAGAAAUCAUGCUUUGGACUGGGAAAUCUUCAGCUCUGUGGUCAAGUUUACUAAGCUUUCCUGUUCUCGAAGCUCAGCACACUCUGUCUUACCUCCACGAUGAUGGACACGUUGCUCCUGCCGUCUGGCUUCUACUUGUCCAUUUGAUUUUAGUUUGGAUGACAUCUCCUCCAGGAAACCUUCCCUUCUUCGAUAACCCUUUUCUGGGCUGGCAUUCACCCUGAUUUCUUCUAUACUAUGGCACUUGUCAGUGUUGCAAUUAUCUGGUGAUACGUAGACUGCAAGUUUGGUGAAGACAAGGAAGUGCCUGCCUCACUCAUGUCCCUAUUCCCAGCUUUCGAUCACUGAUUCACGGAUCUCUUCGUGGUGACCUGGUAUGUAAACCAGUCAAAUGAUCAUAGGAAAGAGAUGUCAUUGUGCAGCUUUAUCCUUCAGAACUGGCAUGCCGGAGGGGGUGCACUGUGAUGUCUUCUUCGAGGAAGCUGGGGCAGGGAAGAUAAGAGGAGGCAUGGAACCUAGUUGCAUCAGGCUACCCCCCACCCCAAUCAGGGUGUUCUAUUCCAUGGGAAUACAAUCUGCGAAUCAUUAAUGAGGCGGAAGGGUGCUUCUAUUCAGGGAGCUCCCACCACAGGCCAAGAUGGUUUUCCAGAUGCCAAC
rnacentral:lncRNA from 1 species